UGGGUACUACCUGGGAACUUGGAGAGAUGGGAACAUUGUCUGCGUGCGGUCUAAUAAUCUGAAAAACAUCCCUGAGAAACACAGUCAAGUGGCACAGUACUAUGAAGUAUUCCUUCGACAGUCUCCAUUGGAGCCCUGCCUUGUAUUUCAUGAAGGUGGAUACUGGCGUGAGCUCAUAGUCCGCACCAAUAGCCAAGGGCACACAAUGGCUAUCAUCACUUUC